rnacentral:rRNA from 1 species
UACGAACCGUACAAACGUUAUUCGGAAUCACUGGGCUUAAAGGGUACGUAGGCGGCCAUGUAAGUGGGGUGUGAAAUCCCUCGGCUCAACCGAGGAACUGCGCUCCAUACUGCAUGGCUUGAGGGAGACAGGGGUAAGCGGAACUGAUGGUGGAGCGGUGAAAUGCGUUGAUAUCAUCAGGAACACCGGUGGCGAAAGCGGCUUACUGGGUCUCUUCUGACGCUGAGGUACGAAAGCUAGGGGAGCGAACGGG